CCUCCUUAACGAUAAAUCGCGUUUUUAACGCCCACACGAGUAAUCAAAUAUUUAGAUAGAACAUUUUGUUAUGUAAAAUCAUUGGUAUGUAAUUUUCUAGUGUAUACAUUAUGUAUACAUAAGAUCACUGCAAUUAAAAAGCGAUAUGUACAUUUAUGUAUAUAUUGAAAAAGUGAUUAAUAUAUUUUAUUAAGUACUCUCAAAAAAAUAAUAACCUUUUUUAAGGUUAUAUGAUCAAGUAAAGGAAGAGCACAAGGCGGAUGCCUUGGCAGCAUAAGGCGAUGAAGGACGUAAUAACCUGCGAUAAGCCUCGGGGAGCUGGUAAAUAAGCUUCGAUCCGAGGAUUUCCGA
rnacentral:misc_RNA from 1 species